rnacentral:rRNA from 1 species
GUUAACGGCCAUUGGAACAGGGGUACACCUGGUCUCUUUCCGAACCCAGAAGUUAAGCCUGUUUCGAGAGGUAAGCACUGGUGCAAAUCGGCGCUUGUUUCUUCCUGCUAACC